rnacentral:rRNA from 1 species
UACAUGGGGUGCAAACGUUGCUCGGAAUCAUUGGGCGUAAAGCGCGCGUAGGCGGUUGCUUAAGUCGGAUGUGAAAGCCCUCGGCUUAACUGAGGAAGUGCAUCCGAAACUGAGCAGCUAGAGUACGAAAGAGGGUCGCGGAACUUCCCGGUGUAGAGGUGAAAUUCGUAGAUAUCGGGAGGAACACCGUGGCGAAGGCGGCGACCUGGGUCGAGACUGACGCUGAGGCGCGAAAGCGUGGGGAGCAAACAGG